AGGAGAGGCUAUUGUACCAUCCUCGAGUCGUUCAUUGCGCGUCUCGGCCUAGCUAGCUAGCCAUCGAGCCCUAGAGCUGAGCACCGGCUCCUAGUUCCCGUCGCGGGCCUCCGCCACCGGGCCACUUGUGUCACCCACCUCAGUUUGCAGGACGUAUAGCAAGGAGAUUGUUCAGCGAUGGCGGGGCGCGGCAGAGGUCUGAUGAGGUCACUCACAGACCUAUUGGGCGGUAGAUCUACCCAGGCAGGUGAGUCCUCCCAGAGGACUCGACGGACAGGCACGAGAAGUCGGAGGAGUGGAGCGGGUUCGUCGACGCGCGA